AGGUAGUCUAAGAGUUUGGGCUGAAAAAGAGCAAAUGUAAUCACUCAGUCUGCUACAGACAAUUAGCAGCAGGCAUUAUUCUUCUUGUUGUAUAUGUGGAUGAUAUUGUCAUUACAGGAAGUGAUUAUACAGGGAUAUCUUCUCUCAAGUCCUUUUUGCAUACCAGGUUUCAUACAAAAGACUUGGGCCAGGUAAAAUACUUCUUGGGAAUAAAAGUAACAAGAAGCAAGAAGGGAAUUUUUCUGUCUCAGAGAAAGCAUGUUCU
rnacentral:misc_RNA from 1 species